CACAAUAAUCCUCUGAGAACCAAUCAGCAAAGGCCUGUCAACUAAACCCCUGAGAGGCCAGUAUAGAAAAUAGAAUCCCUAGAAUGGGGAAGGCCCUCAGACCCAUUAACUUGAAUCGGAAUGUCCGUUCUAGGGAUUAUAUUUCUAUGGUUACACAGGAAACCAGGGGGACCUGCUUCCACAACAGUCCUGGAGGGUUUAAGGUAAAGGUCAGCUUGGUAAUAACUUCAGAUGCUUUUCAGACUUCAUCAACAACCAACAACAUCAACAGGACGUCUGUUUUAAUCAGUCACCCACUGGACUGAACCAUGGGGUGCAACACCAGCAGGGAUGCUGUCGUGGUAGACCCUUCUAAAAAGCCAGAGACCAGACCAGCGUCGGCCAGCUCGACCAGUAAGGCCACCGCUGAGGAGACUAAAGAAACUACAGAGAAAGACAAAGAUGAAACAGAAGGCAUAUCAAGCUGCGACUGACCUCCAUCUUCUUAACCCAAACUCCUCAAAAUUGGCCUGUCUGCAGGUGGAGGACCUGCCUGCAGAGGAAGGCAAUGCUGCACAACUGUCCAUCAACCCCUGUGUCAUCUGGGACCCCAGCCACACAUCCCGCUCCACUCUGUGAUGUAACCAACCAGCCACACCCCGCUCCACUCUGUGAUGUAACCAACCAGCCACACGCCCCGCUCCACUCUGUGAUGUAACCAACCAGCCACACCCCCGCUCCACUCUGUGAUGUAACCAACCAGCCACACCCCCCGCUCCACUCUGUGAUGUAACCAACCAGCCACACGCCCCGCUCCACUCUGUGAUGUAACCAACCAGCCCACACCCCGCUCCACUCUGUGAUGUAACCAACCAGCCACACACCCCGCUCCACUCAGUGAUGUAACCAACCAGCCACACCCCCGCUCCACUCUGUGAUGUAACCAACCAGCCACACACCCCGCUCCACUCUGUGAUGUAACCAACCAGCCACACGUUCCUUACUCUGUCUACUGUUGCUGGUCCAGAACACUCUCUCUCUCUCAAUCUCUCAACUGGACCUUCAGUGUCCACAGUGCCAUGUUUAUAUCCUGUUAAUGUGCCAGUAUGGUCAUUGUAACAACAAUGAGACAUGGUAGUAAAUGUAUAGAUUCAAUCUGACUAAUGUCCUUUAUUGUUUUUAAUGUAAUUUAUUGUUCUUACCUCCAUCUCUAUCUCACUCUCUAUCACACACCUCUGUUCUAAUGUGGCAGUUACAAUCAGUUACUUCAAAAGCUUCCAACCCUGCCACAGGCUAAACCAAACAGCAGCCAAAUCAGUAGGCUUUGAAGGCAGUUUUUGUUGCAGCUGUACAGCAUAUUACUGAUCACUCCAGCAGUCCUAGGCUCCAACACUACAUAACACGGCAUCAGGAAGCUGUUACAGCUCUGUGUUUGGGUAGACAGCAGCCUGCUUGUUAUUACCCAUAAAGGAAAUGGUUCCCAUAGAUACAAAUACCAUAGACUGCAAUGCCUUUUUUGCCACCAGGUGGCAUGUAAACACAGCUGCAGUUCUGUUUGUCACCACCAGAUUGCAGAAGCGAUCCAUCAGUAUUUGGUGGCUAUCCAAGGCCCUGGUCCAUUUACUCAAGACAUUUAAUCUGAAAUAUAUGUUGUAAAUUUAUUACCAGCGAGUGAAUAGAGCUGGAACGGAAUAGCCUUUUCACAAAGCCCAUAUCACAAAUACCCAUCACAGAGGAAGCGGGAAAUUACAUGAAAAUAUUACCAUUAUACAAAUGGAAAUUGUGAUUGAAUAAUGUGUUUGAGAAGAUAAAUGGAAAGCACUUUGUUAGAAAAUGUGGUGCUAAAUAGCUUUUUAAUUUCAGAUGUGGGAUAAAACAAAACACAUUUCUACUCCAUUUUCACUGGCAAUUGAUUAGUGGUUCCACACCUGCAGAGAGAAGGGCUCUUAUCUUCUCAUUAUCAGUUAAUUAAUAUGCAUGCACACAUGUCUAUUAUCUUUCCUCUGCCAUUUAGCAGAAUUGAGACAUUGAUGUUGUAAUGGCCUUGGAUGACUUCUCUCUCUGUUGCUUUAAGGAGAAAUAAGACACAUGACUGACAUUGUCUUUAAUUGUUGUAAAAGAAAAUGAAAUGAAAAUAAAAUAAAAAGGAAAAACAAAUUCUUUACAUCAUAUUCAAUAUGACAUCACCAUUCCCCUCUGGGAGGUGUAUCUAUAAACACAGCAACUCUUAUUUGAUUGGCUGUAUUUAAAUUAGCAGCUAUUCUAUGGUACUGUAGCUUUACGAAACAAGCCAUAUGGUGCACUGUGUAUACCUAAGAAAGAGAUGUAUUGAAGAGUGAUAGGGAAAUGUUUUACUUGAAAGACAUACAGAAGGGAAUAAGAUAUUAAAUUCCUCACUCUGCCAGGGUUUGGCUAUUACAGAAUCCAAGGCCUCACCCGUUGAAGCAAAACCUGGGUGAAAGUCAAAUUAAUUUAUGUCCUGAUCUUCAAUGUUCCACUGCCAUAAGUGCAUAUUGUAUUACCAGUGAAAUAUGA
ensembl:lncRNA